rnacentral:rRNA from 1 species
UUAUGGAGAGUUUGAUCCUGGCUCAGGAUGAACGCUGGCGGCGUGCCUAAUACAUGCAAGUCGAGCGAACAGACGAGGAGCUUGCUCCUCUGACGUUAGCGGCGGACGGGUGAGUAACACGUGGGUAACCUACCUAUAAGACUGGGAUAACUCCGGGAAACCGGGGCUAAUACCGGAUAAUACAUGAAACCGCAUGGUUUCAUGAUGAAAGACGGUUUUGCUGUCACUUAUAGAUGGACCCGCGGCGUAUUAGCUAGUUGGUAAGGUAACGGCUUACCAAGGCAACGAUACGUAGCCGACCUGAGAGGGUGAUCGGCCACACUGGAACUGAGACACGGUCCAGACUCCUACGGGAGGCAGCAGUAGGG